rnacentral:rRNA from 1 species
CCUACGGGGGGCUGCAGUGGGGAAUAUUGGACAAUGGGGGCAACCCUGAUCCAGCCAUGCCGCGUGUGUGAAGAAGGCCCUCGGGUUGUAAAGCACUUUCAGUGAGGAAGAACGCCUGGUGGUUAAUACCCAUCAGGAAAGACAUCACUCACAGAAGAAGCACCGGCUAACUCCGUGCCAGCAGCCGCGGUAAUACGGAGGGUGCGAGCGUUAAUCGGAAUUACUGGGCGUAAAGCGCGCGUAGGUGGCUUGAUAAGCCGGUUGUGAAAGCCCCGGGCUCAACCUGGGAACGGCAUCCGGAACUGUCAAGCUAGAGUGCAGGAGAGGAAGGUAGAAUUCCCGGUGUAGCGGUGAAAUGCGUGGAGAUCGGGAGGAAUACCAGUGGCGAAGGCGGCCUUCUGGACUGACACUGACACUGAGGUGCGAAAGCGUGGGUAGCAAACAGGAUUAGAUACCCUAGUAGUC